UCUGGUUGAUUCUGCCAGUAGUCAUAUGCUUGUCUCAAAGAUUAAGCCAUGCAUGUCUAAGUGUAAGCAAUUUAUACUGUGAAACUGCGAAUGGCUCAUUAAAUCAGUUAUCGUUUAUUUGAUAGUACCUUACUACAUGGAUACCUGUGGUAAUUCUAGAGCUAAUACAUGCUGAAAACCUCGACUUCGGAAGGGGUGUAUUUAUUAGAUAAAAAACCAAUGCCCUUCGGGGCUCCUUGGUGAAUCAUAAUAACUUAACGAAUCGCAUGGCCUUGCGCCGGCGAUGGUUCAUUCAAAUUUCUGCCCUAUCAACUUUCGAUGGUAGGAUAGUGGCCUACCAUGGUGGCAACGGGUAACGGGGAAUUAGGGUUCGAUUCCGGAGAGGGAGCCUGAGAAACGGCUACCACAUCCAAGGAAGGCAGCAGGCGCGCAAAUUACCCAAUCCCGACACGGGGAGGUAGUGACAAUAAAUACUGAUACGGGGCUCUUUUGGGUCUCGUAAUUGGAAUGAGUACAAUUUAAAUCCCUUAACGAGGAACAAUUGGAGGGCAAGUCUGGUGCCAGCAGCCGCGGUAAUUCCAGCUCCAAUAGCGUAUAUUAAAGUUGUUGCAGUUAAAAAGCUCGUAGUUGAACCUUGGGUCUGGCUGGCCGGUCCGCCUCACCGCGAGUACUGGUCCGGCUGGACCUUUCCUUCUGGGAACCUCAUGGCCUUCACUGGCUGUGGGGGGAACCAGGACUUUUACUGUGAAAAAUUAGAGUGUUCAAAGCAGGCCUUUGCUCGAAUACAUUAGCAUGAUAAUAGAAUAGACGUGUGUUCUAUUUGUUGUUUCUAGACCGCCGUAAUGAUUAUAGAUAUCGGGGCGUCAGUAUUCGAGCAAAGCCUGCUUUGAACACUCUAAUUUUUUCACAGUAAAGUCCUGGUUCCCCCACAGCAGUGAAGCAUGAGUUCCAGAAGAGGUCCAGCCGGACCAGUACUCGCGGUGAGGCGGACCGGCCAGCCAGACCCAAGGUUCAACUACGAGCUUUUUAACUGCAACAACUUUAAUAUACGCUAUUGGAG
rnacentral:rRNA from 1 species